UGGAGAGGAAGUCCAUAGUUUGUUCAUGGGGACACAGGAAAGCGAGAGAAACAGUCUGGGACUGACGCAAAAUCCUAUGCUAUACAGACUCAUGGUAAUGGCUAUAUUUGACCAAAGAGAGGCGUAGCCUGCAUUGAAAGAGGCGUUGACAAGGUGGCCAAGAUGUUGAUAAAAGUAAAACACAGAGAGACAAAGAAAUAUGUAAAAUUGGAAGAGGUCUGUUUCACAGACGAGUGCAGUGCAGCAGAAGUUUCUCAUACCAGAAAAUGCAGCACUGAAAGUGAGCAGGAUAUAGAGGUGGAUGAGGAUGUCUUUCCUGAACUUGCAACAGUCAAAUAAGUUUGUUUUGUCAUCUAUACAGCUGAAGACAUCCUGGAAAUGGUAAAUGGCCUGUAUUUGUAUAGCGCUUUACUAAUCCCUAAGGACC